rnacentral:miRNA from 1 species
AGUUUCGUGGGUCGAGUCGGAGUC